rnacentral:rRNA from 1 species
AUGAACGCAUGUGUAUGGGGUUCAAAAACUGUAACCGAGUUUGAGUUAGAGUGGAAUUCCAUAAUUUCAGACUUUGGGUUGGAGGAUAAUGAGUGGUUGACUAAAAGGUUUAGCCUUAGAGAGUCGUGGAUACCAACCUAUUUCAUGGACAUAUCACUGGCAGGCAUUCUGCGAACUACUUCAAGGUCCGAAAGUGCAAAUUCAUUUUCUAACCGAUUCAUUCAUCGCAGGCUCACUUUUGUUGAGUUCUGGCUUAGAUUUGAGACAGCUUUAGAAUGUCAACGUCAAGAGGAGUUGAUUGCAGACAAUUCAAGCAUCCAUAGGACCCCCCAAUUAGUGACACCAUGGGCAAUGGAGAGACAAGGUAGUGAAGUAUUCACAUAUGAGGUGUUUGUGAAAUUUCAGGAACAAGUUAUUGCUGCAAGAGACCACUGUUGUGUUCAAGGAAUUGCACAAGAUGAGGGAAUUAAGAUAGUGACCUUCAAAACAGGUGCUAGUAGGGUAAGGGAGGUCCGAUGUGACACGAAAACCAUGAUAGCUAACUGUUCAUGUAAGUUAUUUGAGUCACAUGGAAUCCCAUGCCGCCAUAUUAUGCAAGUGAUGCGAACUGAAAAUCAACAGGAGCUUCCAACCUUCUAUAUCAUGGAAAGAUGGCAGAAACGGUGUAAAAGUGAGAGUGUUUACGAUGAACAAGGGAACCUUCUAGAAGAAAAGCCCGCCGACUCCUUGGAUGCAGCUGCGAGGAAGAAGAUUUCAAUAGUGCGAAACAAGUUGGAAGAUCUAAUUCAAAGAGCCAAGCAAUCAGAUGAAGGCAUGGACUUUUUGGUCUCAAGUGUUCUUAGCAUUGAGGAGCCUCUGAACCAAAUGGUUCCUAAUGCAGUCAAGCACACUAGGCAAGAGGAAUACGAGGCAUUUAUUGGUUGCAACAUUCCUACUCAAAUUGACAUACACCCGCCAAAUGAUGCUCAUUUGGUUGGGAGAUGUAAAAGAAUAAAAAGAGGAAAGGAAAUGAAUGGGGAAAAACAAAAGGAGAGGAACAAAGAAGCCAAGGCCAAGGUUGCACGCUUGUGCAAGACAUGCAACCAAAUAGGUUUUCAUGAUAGUCGCAAUUGUCCAAGCAAAAAGGGUCAAGGAAAAGAAACCAUGAAUGUGCAAGACAUGCUUCCAAAUGGUUAA